rnacentral:misc_RNA from 1 species
UUUCCGUAGGUGAACCUGCGGAAGGAUCAUUACCGGGCGAGGGCCCUCUGGGUCCAACCUCCCACCCGUGGCUCUUGUACCUCGUUGCUUCCGCGGGCCUGCCUCUCGGCCUCCGGGGGGCACCUCCCCCCCGGGCCCCCGCCGGCCCAAGACACCCACGAACCCUGUCUUAAGAAGGCAGUCUGAGUGAAAUGAUACAAUAUUUAAAACUUUCAACAACGGAUCUCUUGGUUACGGCAUCGCUGAAGAACGCAGCAGAUCGCAAGAGCACACGUCUGC